GUGGGGUUGUGGCUCAGUGGUAGAGCACUUGCCUGGCAUGUGUGAGGCACUGGGUUCAGUACUCAGCACCACA
rnacentral:tRNA from 1 species